CUGGCCGUAAACGAUGGGUACUAGGUGUAGGAGGUAUCGACCCCUCCUGUGCCGGAGUUAACGCAAUAAGUACCCCGCCUGGGGAGUACGGCCGCAAGGCUGAAACUCAAAGGAAUUGAC
rnacentral:rRNA from 1 species